rnacentral:misc_RNA from 1 species
AACAUCGCGCACCUGCGGGAACCUGCGGAGGGAUCAUUACCGAGUGUGAACCCCCCCGUAAAAAGGAGGGGUUACCUCCCGUCCUUUGCUGGGAACCCCUUUCCAACUUGGAAGGAGGUUGUUUUCAGACCCUUCUGCUUCGGUGGGGUAACCCACCGGAACAACCUCAAAAAUAUUCUCAAUUCAAAACCGUUCAGUCCGAGAACUUUUUUGAAAAGCGAAAAAACUUUCAACAAUGGA